AGUUCCCCCGAGGCCGCGGAGCCCGCUCACGAUGUUCUCGAAGCGGCGGCGCCCGCUCACGAUCCUCCCGAGGCGGCGGUGUCCGCUCAC